GUAGCCUUGCCACUUCGAGGUUCUUCGGCCAGGCCGAAGCUAAGACGGGAACGCGGUACAAGCCGCGGCUGCCCCCGCAACUGUAAGCACCGACAACGGAUCGACACAGCCACUGCGCGCGCGCGGGAAGGCGUCAUCCCGCCAGCCUGCUGCACCAGCGGGCACAUGGAACGGUGCGAGCCAGGAGACCUGCCUCGUCACGUUUUCGACUU
rnacentral:ncRNA from 2 species